AAUUGACCUCGGAUCAGGUAGGGAUACCCGCUGAACUUAAGCAUAUCAAUAAGCGGAGGAAAAGAAACCAACAGGGAUUGCCUCAGUAACGGCGAGUGAAGCGGCAACAGCUCAAAUUUGAAAUCUGGCCCUCCCGGGGUCCGAGUUGUAAUUUGUAGAGGAUGCUUCGGGUGCGGCGCCAGCCGAAGUCCCUUGGAACAGGGCGUCACAGAGGGUGAGAAUCCCGUACGUGGCCGGCAACCAACCCCAGGUGAAGCUCCUUCGACGAGUCGAGUUGUUUGGGAAUGCAGCUCAAAAUGGGUGGUAAAUUUCAUCUAAAGCUAAAUACCGGCCAGAGACCGAUAGCGCACAAGUAGAGUGAUCGAAAGAUGAAAAGCACUUUGGAAAGAGAGUUAAACAGUACGUGAAAUUGUUGAAAGGGAAGCGCUUGCGACCAGACCUGCCCGUGGGUGCUCAGCGGGGGUUCUCCCCCGUGCACUCGCCCACGAUCAGGCCAGCAUCGGUUCCGGCGACCGGAUAAAGGCCCGGGAAAUGUGGCUCCCCUCGGGGAGUGUUAUAGCCCCGGGUGUCAUGCGGCCAGCCGGGACCGAGGACCGCGCUUCGGCAAGGAUGCUGGCACAAUGGUCGUAAGCGACCCGUCUUGAAACACGGACCAAGGAGUCUAACAUCUAUGCGAGUGUUUGGGUGUCAAACCCAUGCGCGCAAUGAAAGUGAACGAUGGUCAGAGCCCCCCGGGGUGCAUGAUCGACCGAUCUUGAAGUUUACGGAUGGAUUUGAGUAUGAGCAUAGCUGUUGGGACCCGAAAGAUGGUGAACUAUGCCUGAAUAGGGUGAAGCCAGAGGAAACUCUGGUGGAGGCUCGCAGCGGUUCUGACGUGCAAAUCGAUCGUCAAAUUUGGGUAUAGGGUACGUCUUCUGGGAUCGUAUUGGGGGGGCUCAUUGCUAACAAACUCGCAGGGCGAAAGACUAAUCGAACCAUUGGAGGUUGAGGCUACUAGGUGGUUAAUUGGGGUCUGCGGACCGUCAGCCUCUCGGGGCAACAAUGCUAGAUGCAUGGACAACGGACAUGCAGCGGGCGCCGCGAGGCGUUCGUCCACUGACCAGAUAGCGUUGGCCGGGGCGGCUUUGGCGCCGGUUGUGACAUGGUCGAGUCCCUCCUCCCGGGGAGGGUAUGCACGCUAGUAGCUGGUUCCUGCCGAAGUUUCCCUCAGGA
rnacentral:rRNA from 1 species